UGGAAAGGAAGUCGGGCACAGACACAAAAUAAAACAUCCGGCUUCUUUUCAAAAUAAAACACUCCGUGUUUCAGGAGGAUCGUAUUUCACACCAUGCAAACGGGCGGAGACGAACAAGUGAAAGGUUUUUAGACGUCAUUUCACCCCAAUGACACCAUGGAUGAGGAGAUGCUGAUUCUAGAAGUCUAGAAGUAGAUUUCCUCCUCUGGAAGGACACAAUCUACUGCUUAUAUGUCUAUGUGUCUGUCUUUAUAGGGACAACUUGUUAUCAUGUGGUUGCACAUGAAUCCGCUGGUUCUUGUGAUUCCUGGUGUCCGUAAUACGCCACAAAAUUCGCCUCACAAACGGAUCCCGUAGGAAUUGGCGUUCCAGAUGCGGUGGAAAUCCCGGGUUAAAGAUGAUUAUUUUCCUCCCAAAUUGUCAAUCACUGCACAGUGUGAAAAGUAAAAGAAAUCGAUGUUGUUUAUUUUUGGUUUAUUUUUGAGAUUUUUUUAAGCGAUUACUAAAACCUCGUCUUCCUCACCUGAGGAGAAACAUGACGUCUUCAUGACGGCCUCUGUCACCCGUGCUCCUCACAUUUGUCUGAGGCCUCCUCCCAACAUCCCCCUUCGGUCUGAGCUCACUUUGUUCCUGAGGAAACAGGUGAUGAGUGAACAGGCUGGAUGAGGAGGAGGAGGAGGAGAUGACGACAAGGUCCCCAGACACGUUUUUAAUCAGACCUCCUCCUCUGGGACCAAACUUCUCGGAGACUCAGAUCUACACCUCUAGAGCCGCCCACCCCUCUGGACCCCGGCGCUGACGGACGUCCAGGUGGUGGACCGCUGGGGGAGAAAAGGCCCCGCAGCAGAUGGACGAAGGACCCUGAAGCCGUCAGAGGGAGUGUGAGACGCAGCACAGCUGACGGGGGGCGAAUGAGGCUGUCAUCAACGCCGUUACAGCCAAAUAUGGACGCCUGCUCCUCCGUGUUAAUGACUGUCCAUGAGAGUUAGAGUGAAAAGUCAAGAAGCGCUCUUAUUUCAGUCGCUCAAAUCUGUUUUUAAAGGGACAUUUCAGCAUUUUAGAGCGAUGUAUGAGUCACACGUCACUAAUGAAGGUUUUAACAGCAGUGGAUAUCAGUCGGCUUUGAUGGGACACUGUUGGGAGGAACCGCGUGCAAGCUAGGCUACACCACCUCCACCUGCAGCAGGACCAGCUAACCAGGUCACUGAUGUGUAACCCCUGUCCCAUGAGAAGUAAUAGGGCUGUUGUUGUUUAGUGGGACGGGGCCCGAGUUCGUCUGGCACUACCUGUGAUGACAGUAUAUAAAAUAUUGUGGUGGUAAAAAGUAAACACUAAAGGUGGUACUUUCCCUUUAAAAGUCACUUAAACCUGUUUAUAUUGAUCCAAAAUAUAUAUAAAUAUAAAUAUAUAUUUUUAGUUUUUAGUGCUGCUUUUAUACUUGCACUAUACUGGGGCAGCUGUAGACCCUUUCAACAGUUUAUUUUUUUAAUAUUGACAUUUGUAUUGAGUGACAUGACUGCCACUUGUUUCACAGAAAGCAAACAGUUUGUUAUUCUCCAGUGCAGAGCCUUUACUUUGAUUUAUACAGCCGCUUUAUUUCAUUUGAGUUUAUUUAUUCAAAGUUUUCAAAAAUUUGUUGAAGGUUCAGAAAAAUUAAAGAUAUUUAUCUUUGAAGCCACAUGUGUAAGCUCUCAAAUACUUCUUGAAUGUUGUUUCUAUCUGCUACAAACGCUGAGAUAUCAGCUUAUUUAUAAACCUCAGGAUCUGGGGGCCCUUCUCAAAGUGGCCCUCAGGGUUUCAGAGUCUCAGACUGGGUUCAGGUCUUAGUGGGUUAAAUCAGCAUAAACAAAAAAGGCAUGUGCAAAGUGUUAAUUGUACUCACGAAUCCACACAGUCAGAGAUGAAGAUGGGAAAAAGGAGCAGAUGUGCAGUUUCAGCGGUUAGUGAAUGGAGCGUACAGCAACACGGGGCGGCAAACUGCGCUGAAGUCCAGCACGGUCCAGGUCGGUCCUCACUCUCUCUUCCUCUGAUGGAAAAUGUCUGCUCCUAAAUCACACAAUCACUCUUAGUAAAUAAGUUACAGGCUCAUUCAUGGCAAAAGAAAAACCCAGAAUGUCUCACAAAUUAGCAAUAGCUAACGACAACGCAGAAUAAACAGUGAAAGCCUAUGGUGAGGCUAAGCUAAAGGCUAGCAGUGAUUAGUGAUUCAGUUAGCUUUUUACGCAUUACAAAUUAACCACAGUACCGAGCAAAUCAAUACACAUGAAUUUACCUCUGACAGAUUCCCAGAGUUCACUCACAUCAGCCACAGGAAGUUAGGAGUGUUUCACUUUUACAGCUUAGAGACUUCCUGCUCUCAUGAGGAGAAAACUUCUUCUUCUUCAAUGGAAUUUAUUGGCAGUUGGCAAACCAACUUGAAGGUGCAUUACUGCUACCUACUGGUCUGGAGUGUGGAACAGUAAUUUGGUAGACAAAAACCUAAAUAAGGAAAUUAGAUCCCUGUAUUUUUCAAAUAUGCCAUUAAAUGCUUCAGUGUAACUUCUGACUCUGCUCCGAGCAGGUUCCCCAUAUUAAGUUCCAUCCUGACUUCCUCUGCUGCUGCUGUCUGUGUCCUUCUUUCCUCCUCAUAUCCUCCACAAUCCAACAACACAUGCUGGACAAUCUCUUUUCUUCCUCUUUUGAUUUCACCUCUUUUAUUCUGCUGUUUGACAUUUAUUCUUGUCGACCUUUGGUGUGAAAUCUUCACUUUUUCAGAGUGACCAAACAUCCUCUUUUACCCGGACAUGUCCUCAUUUUGGGGGGCUGUCCGGCCUUGUCCGGGGGAGUUUAUAAAAUCCUUCAGAUGUCCGAGGUUUUGUUUGGAAGUUUUGAGUUUGUGUAGCGUGGAUGAACUAACUAACUAACUAAAUUUGCUACACAUGACUCCUGACUAGUCGUGUCCUCUUUUUAGAGAUACAGAAUAUGGUCACCCUAACUUUUUAAAAGGUGCUAAAUACAUAAAAUUAUUAUUACUGUUGUGAGGGUAGAGGACAUGACUGUAACUCUGACCUGUUUGGUGGAUUCAGGACAAAAAUAUUAACACUUGUUGGGAGUUAGCGGGUUGUUUUAGCAUCAAUUUAUACACUAAUAUAUUUAUUUUGUCUCGCCUCUGAGUUAAGAGAAACAUGCAUUUAAACCCUGAAUGUGUUUCUUCUUUAUAAACUAAAACCUCCUCAUUCAGACUCUCAUCCAUCAUUAAAAAAAACGUCAUAAACAACAGGAAACAAUUGUCCUUUAGUUUGAACCUCUGCAGCCGCCGACCGUCUGUGAACCUGGUCUGUGGCGGAGAAAUGUCGUUAUUGUCAGAGUCUAUUAGACCUGACUUCCACUGAUGUUUAGCAUCCAUUUGUGCUCUGAAUACUGUCGUUUUUAAUAAGCUUGCUGGGAAGCAUAAGAAGAAAAUGUACAAUGAUAAGUUAAUUAAAUUUGAAACAUUACAGAUCGUAAUCAUCGACUCGGGAAAAAACUAAACAGUCAUUUUCUGUCCAUGCCCACUUAGACAGAAAGAGGGAAACGCGUGUAUUUCAAUUACUUGAAAGGUUCAUCUUCCCGAGGUUCAAAGGGAAAAGCUGAGGCAUUUUAAAUUAGACAUGGGGCCUUCUACUUCUUGACUAGUUUUAUCAGUAAUUACAUUACUCAUCUCCAAAUCACACCCUCAUCAUGCUUAAUCGAGCAAAAAUUGGACACAGAAGAAAAAUAAUGACGGCGCCCUUUUCCAUCAAAGAAAUCCAUUUAUAAAAACAGCAGACAUGUUCGUGGUUUUCCCCUCUGCCGGCUGAGAACAGUUCAGACUUUUUUUUUCCAUCCAAGGACACUCGCUCGCUCAUUUCUCUGCAGACUGAACUCCUGUGAAGAUGUGAGGGGACGUUUUUUCUUUUGUGGCCACCCACAGGUACACUGUCCGACUCUUAAUAGCAUCAAUGAAAUAUUAAAGACCGGAGUUACUUUUAAUGAACUUCUUUGAGGCUUUACUGUCUGAUCACUUUAUCCCAUAUUAAUAGUUUUAAUAACUUUAAAAGAGAAAUGUGUCCUGAUCCAGGAAGAGUUCAUUUAAUUAUGCUUUUGACUGAAAGUGUCUGGAGAUGAUGAUACUCAGAAACAGCACCAGACUCUGGAGGGGGAAUCGUCGCAUCCAGUUGUCCUUUCAACAAAGAACGGGAAAUCAUAGAUGCUGCAUCCUCAGUUUUAAAGGGUCAUGGCAGUUUUCCCAUAGUUUUCUUUUCAGACAAUGCUUUUAUUUUGAAGGAUCACCCAGGUCAAGAAGAAACUUGCAAAGAUCUUCAAAGAAGUUGUUGCAAUCACGUUGACUUCGGGUAAUCUACAUCAGCAAUUAAAGGUGGCGUAGGCAGGAAUCCGUUAAAGAUGCAUCUUUUUUUGUGGUGUAUUUAAUAUCAGUCAAUAGUUAUUACUUAUUGAUGACAUUUGGUAAUAUAUCGAUAUCUCUGUGUUCUCUCUCUGACUGUAAACAAAGCCGUUCUCCACCUCCUCUAACCUGAUUGGUUGUGAGGCAGACGCUGCUCCCCCGUGUCGUUCAGGAGCCCAAACAAAGUUAGCGUGCUACAAUAUCGGACAGUAGAAACCAACCAGAAAGUUCGGAAAAUUGUCUGAAUCCUCCUUUGGCCACGACUGCCGACACAAGCAAGAAAACAAAGUAAAUACCGGAGACUCUGGAGGAAUAACGGGCGCUUAAAACGGAGGUAGACCGGACAAGAGCUAAAAAGCCGGGUCAACAUAAACGAUGGGGGACGCUUGGGGAUCUUGGUGACCCUGUAACCUUUCUGCUGGACAGGUAAACCGCUUUAACAAAGUAAGACAAGUGUCUGUAACAGAAGUGUUUCUUGUCAAACGGACCUGCUGUAGCGUGUUGUAGCGCCAUCGCUAAACUGUCCUCCCUCGGGUCCUGGACUAUGUCACUUUAUCCUCGUUGUAGAAGUCCUGCAAACAUUGUGUUUGCUGGUAGUCUGUUGGCAUCUACAGUAGCACCAAUGCUUUUGACUUUCACCUUGACUGGGCCCCAUUUGUAAUGAUCUGAAGUAUUUAUCUGCAUUAUAUCUGAAUUUAAUUGGAACGAUACGAGCGAGCAGGAGCGUCUGUUUGUCUUCCUUGGCGACCGUCUUUGUUCUCCUCUCUUUGCUCAGCUUGAGUACCUGAAAAAACCCCAAAAGGUUCGCUAACAUGCGUCAAAAUCUACAUAAUUUUACCGAUCAAAUAACAGCAGAUAUAACGCCAUCCAAUUUCCCGUCUUCAGGGGUCAGAUAAGUACACUUGGUAUCCCAACAGAAGGGUCCAAAAACAGUCAUACGGUUCCUUUCCAAACAUUUUAAAGUUAAAAUAAAUAUAUUUAUAUGUAAUGAGAUUUUCCUGGAGUUACUGCAUCAAACAAGUGUUUCUGUUCAGGUUAUAACUUGUGUUUUAUAAUGUUGGCAUCUGCGCUGGGACAGGAGCAGCAGCCUCUCGGGUAAAAUGAAACAGCUUUCAUUUAGUCAUGCAGACCGACAGGAGGAUUUAUGUCCACGCAUUAAACUCUGUGCAAUGUACUUAUGCAACUAAACUGCUGAGAGACCUGCAUGCAAGUGCAAAGCAAUAGGUGUAAAUUCCCCCUCGCUGUUGCAGUUACAAGUCAGCUUUUAUCCCGACGCUUUACGCUGCAAACCUCCUGGAAGAAGAUGUGCUGAGAACGUGGAAAUAAUCUUUGUAUUCAGAAAAAUGUCAGCUGAUGAGAGGACAAAAAAAAAAGCUGAAUCUGUGUCCUCUGUCAACCCAAAGAUCAUUAAGUGAAGAGUCCUGGACCGACAUGACGUGUCUGCAGAGCUGACGUGUGCAGGAAUCGCACCUGUCUGACCUGUGGGCUCCAUUUGAGGGGUAAUUAGUGUGAAAUAAGAGAGGUCAACGAUAACAGGAGGUUAGUGAGGGAGAGGAAUGAGACGCUAACAGGAAAAUUGGCGACGGAUAAAGGAUCAAUUUCUAAACUUAAGGAGACUAAUAAUGAUUAAAAUAGACGAUGAAGAGAGCUGUAACGGUCAUUCUUGGUCUGAAAACAUGAAUUCGUUUUACUCCCUCUGUUUACAUUCAUGGUGUCUCCUACGAUGUUCUGCUCUUACUCAUGUGAACUGAGGCGAGAUUCCACCUGGACCAUGUCGGCUCGUAGCCACUGGAACAUAACUAGCUCCAUCACACCCUCAUCUGUCCCUCAACCACAGCUGCCAAGACCCUGUGAUCCUUUGUCCCCCCCGAGUCCCUGAGACCACAGCUCCUCUGUUUGUCAGUGUGUGAGGGGGCGGACGGUGAACUACCAGACACCUCUGCCUCCUCCUCCUCCUCCUGCACCUGCGCCCUGCAGAAAAUCCUCGGAGAGACCAUUACAUGAUCACGGCUGACAGAGCAGAUCCCAGCUCUGCCUCUGAGGCCGGCGACUGUUCACGGUGUGAGGAUGAGUGAGCUUUAAAGUUCAGAGAGAGCCAGGAGUCCUGCACGCCACGCCGUCAGGCGGGGAGCUGGAUCACACUUACAUGAGGAGGAGGAGGAGGAGGAGGCUGAUGUCAGGGCUGGAGCAUCUGCAGCGAGGCGUCAGGAGGAAACACGGACAUGAUGGUGAUCAUGAUGCACAUCCUCUCUGGCGGACUGUCAUUGAGAAAAGAGUCAGACUUCCUGUGAAUCACUUUUCUAAGGAACGUGACCCUCAAUUUCCACCGCAUCCUGUACAGCUACGAAAAGGUAGUAUUCUCCGAUCGUAGCUGAUCGUAACCAUUCAAGUUAACGUGUCAAUUUCUUUGAGGUGAAUUUCGUGGCGGAUUACGGACAGCAGGAAUCGCGAGAACUCACAAGAACCUACGGAUUCAUGUUCAAUCUCAAUAUAACAAGUUGUCUCUCUAAAGACAGACACAAAGACAUAUAAGCAGUAGAUUGUGUCCUUCCAGAGGAGGAAAUCUACCUCUAGACUUCUAGAAUCAGCAUCUCCUCAUCCAUGGUGUCAUCGGGGUGAAAUGACGUCUAAAAACCUUUCACUUGUUCGUCUCCGUCUCUUAUUUUGAAAAGAAGCCGGAUGUUUUAUUUUGUGUCUGUGCCCGACUUCCUUUCCAGCACGGGUUAAUAUGUGCUGAAUUUAUCCGCCAUGCUCCGGCGUCCGAAAAAAACUCUUGCGAUCAGCAGAGGAACGGAAAGAAGUCGGUGUAAAUUGACACGUUAACUUGAAUGGUUACGAUCAGCUACGAUCGGAGGAUACAACCUUUUUGUAACUGUUCAGGAUGAAGGUGGAAAUUGCGGGUUAGGUGAAAUGUCUUAAGUAAAUCCAGUUGUUCUUUCAAUGAAGAACUGGAAAUCAUAGAUGCUGCAUCCUCAGUUUUUAGGAGUAGAGUAAAAGUCCUUCAUUCGGCGGGUAUCACACCAACGGUCCGGUCUCUGAGAAUAGAACAUGAAGCCAGCUCAUCUGUGACAACCACACAUGAUGUUCCAGAACAUGCUAAACCCUGAGGUGUUGGUUUUGGCCUCAGGCGUGUUUUCGAACCUUUACGCCAAACUCUAAAAUGCAGGAUAGGAUGUUGAGUUAACUUUCACCUCCCUCCUUCCUAAUGAUUCUUCUCAAAGCCGUCAUUUGCAGUUUCAAACCCUGAUUUGUGGUGACGCUCUCAGAAUAAAGGCUCACAGUCCGCACAGACUGGGAGAGCGCUGUCAGAGUGGAUUCAUUGUCUGCUUUAUGGUGAAUCACCGUGGCCUGGAAAUAAUUCAUCACAGCGCCGAACCAGCUGUGAAGUGAGAAGUCUGCUGCGGUUGUUAUCCCUAAGUGCUCCUCUCCUUUUGUCUGCACGACUCGGCUCGCUCCGGAUGGCACCGGCGCUGCAGAUCGAGGUCCAGGAAGAUAAAGGUCAACCUUUUCUCUUAAUUGUUCAAGGCUGAAUAAGCUCGCAACUGGUACAGUGAAGGUUGGUUCAAAAAGAGCACCAGCACGGAGAGAAAGCGGCGGCGGCGGUGGUGGUGGUGGAGUGAGAAAGAACAUGACGUUUGCUGUUGCAUGAGAAGUAGGUGUGUAGUAAGUGUGUGUGAGUGUGUGUGUGUGUGUGAGCACAUGUGGUUGUUAAAACUCUCCUCUGUGCAGGCCCUGAAGGUUGGCCCAGACUCUACUGUCAUUUCUCAUCCUAAUGGUUCCUGCCACAUCCUCCUGCCAACACACGGCUGGAGAACAACCAAGAGCCAGGAGGAGAAAAGAAAACUCAACAGACGUUCAAUCUGUCUCUCUCUCCCUCUCUCUCUCUCUCCCUCUCCCUCUUUCUCUCUCUCUCUGAACAAAAAGUGACUCCUCAGUGUUAAGAAUAGAAACUGUAAAGUGAGUACUCCCUUCCCUCACACACACACACACACACACACACACACACACACACACACACACACACACACACACACACACACACACACACACACACACACACACUUACCCUACCAACAGUGGACUAUCAGUCCACACUGACCAAGAGGAAACCCCGAUUUCUGGUCGUUUUAUUAAAACAAAAAUAUAAAAGAAAAAUUUCUUUUAAGGUCUUUUACCAAAAUGUUUCUUAAAAUGUGACUUGAGUUGUUUUGGGACCUGGAUCCUUGAGUGAGAUCUACGUGUCUAACAGGGACCUCCAUAUAAGGCAGUGGAGCUGUCUGAACCCGUCCACACUGAUGAUGAUGAUGAGAGCUUGUUUAACACAACGACUUUCUAUGUUUCUUUAAAAAUGGCUGAUUUAACCUAAAUGUGAUAAUUAUUUAAACAUUUCCCUCUGAGAGAAAUAUUUAGAAAUAUUUUAGCUCCAGUCAUUCUGUGGAUUAUAUUUUCUUUUAAAGCUGCUCUAACCCUCUGGGGCUCUUAACACAUUUUUGUCCAUUUUUUUUGUGACUUUUUACUUUUCAUUUGGUGAUCAUUUUGGUUGUUUCAAUGCAAAUAGGAUGAUUUUUUCAGGGAUUUUUCUUUUCUUUUCAAAUUUUUAAACAUGACCACCCAUUAUUUAAUCAGGUCAAUAUUCACUGAGUGACAAAAACACUACACUUUAGGUCCUUAGAUGGACAAAAAUGUCCAUUUCCUAAAAGUGCUAUAAAGAAUAUUAUACAUCAAUAUUUUUUCUAUUUUUUAUUUAUUUUUUUUGCUUCUAAUCUAAGGACCUAAAACAUCAAACAUAAUACUGCAUUAAAAUGAAGGUUGUUGGUAAUUAUUGACACAUCAUAGACCGAAAUUCCUGCUCAACAUCUAAUACAUGCAAAAUAACUCCAAAUUCCUUUUUUUCCCAUUAAUAAAAACAAUGACAUGAUAUAGUCAAACUGGCAUUUAAAGGGUUAAAAUUCUGAAAAUGAAUCAAUAUUUGAUAAAUAUGAUCAGAAAUGAAGUUCUUUAAACUUUUUGCUCUGAAGACGUUACAAAUUUUACUUUUAGUCUUCAACAGUUUAAACUGUUUGUUUUUGAUGUUAUCGAUGGUCUGAUGGCAGAAUUUGGAUUCAGGUUUGAUCACUCUAUAAAAACAGUCGGCUAGUUUAAACACUAAAAUAAAUCCUUAAUGGUGUAAAAGCUUCUAUAUUUGUAUUAAAAUAACUUCAUUUACUGGAUAAUAAUAAUAAGACGUUAGAAAAAUAGCAUUGGUAAAGUCUCCUCUGUGUCCCUGGGAGGGUGUUUGACUUCAGCUUUAUAAAUGAUGUCUGUGUUGUGUUUGAUGCAUUGUCCUGUGUCAGCAGCUGCCAGCAUAAAAUCAAUUAAUUACAUAUUUUUCAUCUCUGUUCAGUUUAAUACACCUGGGGUUAUUGAUUAUGGCAAGAGCUGUGAUUAGAUAAAAGAGGCCCUGGAGUUCAUUUAGAAAUGACUGCAAACACAGGAGAGGAACGGCGAGGGUAUUUAUCUGAGAGCGUGAAAACAAACAGGGAGAGAGCGAAGGUUUGAAGGUUUGAAGCUCUCUGAACUCCUGAUUAAGUCUCGUUUUAUAAAGUAUCUGUCUUUGUGUCUUAUCUGCAAACACACGCUCAAUAAAAACCACAUCAAUAGAGUGUGAUGAUGAACUCUGAAGGCUGAGGUAUGAAGAAGUCAAAUCUGUACUUGACUUAAACCUGCAGGUUUUAUCCUGUGAGUGUUAAAACUGAUCCAGCUCCUCUUGUAAUCUCUGCAUGCUCUCCUCCUCCUCCUCCUCCUCGUCUCCAUCUCUGACUCUGAGCAGAUUAAAUCACUUUAGUGGAUCUGCAGCGUCCUCCGCUCUCCUGUAGCCGUUAAGAAUUCAGCUCUGCUCUUUUACACAUUUGGUUGCACUGACUGUCAGCGAGAGAUAACUUCAGUUUUUUAAACUUGAAAGAAUUAAUUAGCUGCAGUCGAGGACUGAGAGAGAAACUGAAAUCUUGUCUUGUUAGUGGCUGCAGAAGUCCCAGCCUGGUUAAAGAAAUGGCCUCCUCAGCAGACAGCGGUGGUGUUACAGCGUCCGUCUGUCUUAAAGAGAGGAGGGAGGUUUGAUCUGCAGCUCGAAGAGGACUGUGUUGUACUUUGGUCUUAUGCCUAACAGAGUCACAUGAAGAAACUGUCAUUACGUUUGAGAGUUUCAGAGUUUGAGAACUCCGAUUAGGACACCCAGAUAAUGUGAUUGGAAUUCAAUUUUCUCUACCAUGUAACCAGCGUAGUCGGAGUAUGAUUGGACAAUGUAUGUGCGCGUCCGCCACGCCCCCGUAACUGAGAGUAAGUUACCGUGAAACAUAUAAACAAAUCAACCCUACUCUUCACACCGAUGUUCUCCUUUCAUAACACCAGUCUGGGACACCUGUGGAGCAGCUUUCAGCACUACUUAGCUGGACACAACUUAGAGUGAUCGGACAAUGUGUGUGCGCCACACCCCUAUAAACCUGGAACAAAACCCCCAGAGUAGAGGAGUAGCGUUGGUCUCCUCUUUAGAAAAAGUAGCGCGUCCAUCAUGUCAGACAAAAACAACGCUGUACGAUGCUCCAUCUUCUUGUUUCUCCAAAAUGCCCAGCAGCAGUUGUAGACACUUCUGACGUCUGACACCGACCUGCUAUUGUUGUUGACAGUUGUAUGGGGUCGGAAACAGGGCCGUUGAAAAGACCCAUAUCGCCCCCUAGUGUUGGGGAGGAGGACACGUUCACGUCAAUAAUUCAGUUUUCUCAGCUGCUAGUAAAUGAGGACAAGGAGAGAAGUCUGAUUCAGAGAAACAAUGAAUUAUGAGGUUAGUCCGAUUAAACUGUGACUGUAAACGUACCGAGUGAUUCCUGAAAUCAGUUUUGGGGACCUGACUGGGACUGGGAAUGUUGGAUUCAGGGUUAAAUAUUAAUAAACACAGAAUUUGGUAGCGCAACAUCUGGAAAAUGGGAUUGUGACAUGAGAAAUGGAUUUGGACUGAGAGCCGACAUUUCACUUCCUUCGAUCAAGUAUGAACUCAAAUUAUCUGCAAACCAUCACCUCUUUUUUUUAUCCGUAAACUUCUCAGCGUUGAGGUCGUUAAUUUGGGGAUUUUCUUAAAUUCCGUCUCGUGCUGCUCAGCGUUUUCAUCCUGCGGUAAUUUUUCCCUCCUAAGCAUGUUCAGAAAGCUGGAAAUGUCAAAUGCAAAUGCGGCGGCGGGGAUAUUUGCACUCUUAGAGCAGCCGGUGUUUUCGUUCUCCUUUUACUCCGCCGCGGUGUCGGCUCAGUCUUCAUACCUGUUUCUCUCGGGGGACAUAGCGCUGGUGUCACUCACGUCCAUCACCUUCGCCGGCUUCCAUGCGUCACCGCCACUGUCUGCCUCUCGAAAUCACCUGCAGCACAAAGAUCCCAACGUGUGUGUGUUUGUGUGUGUUUAAACUUUGAGUGGCUGUGCUUGAGAAACUCUUCCUUACACUAUAACAAGAGUUGAUGCUGAAAAAAGGGUCUCCAAAAUUCACCUCGGAUAACCUGCUGCUGCAUGAGACAAGAGAGAGAAGACGGUCCUUCUGUGGACAAAACAGUCAUUUUCAUUUUCUUUGACGUCUUCCUUUUGUGGGUCUGGGGGGUCAAAGCUAGGCCCCUAAUGUUAUCAAGUCCAAGACACACUCCACGGCAGGACUCAGAAAGCUGCAAACCAGUCAGGACAGCUCUGAGAUCAGUCAGAGGUUAAAUUGGAUGUUUUUACAUGUCGUUAAUUCGUCUGAAGUUUGACUAAAAUCUUUCAGCACACUUUAGAAAGUUUGAAGAUCUUCGAGGUCUCAAACGCCCCGUCAGGUCGAGUCGAGUUUGCACGAUAAUAAACCUGUUAAACACGUCGCAGGUCCUGUUACUGCAGAAUGUGACAACUGUAGUAUGCAGCGCUGCCAAAGUCUGACUCAGGGUUCAAGUUUCUGAAUGAAAUACAAACCAAAUAAAGUUCAGAUUGAUUUCCUGCUCAUUCUCGCUUACAGACUUUUUCAAGACAACAUGGAGGAUUAGAAGAUUUGGGAACAUUUCCUCACAAAUGGUUUCAUAAUUUUCGUCCAACUUCAGGCGUAGAAACCGUUGGCUUGUUUACUGCGUCUCUGAUCAUCAGCGGUGUUCAGAGCGAAGCUAAAGGCGUGCUGAACUCCUUUUCUACGCUCUCACGUGGAGCAGCAGUCAGGGGGAAGCAUGCUUUGUGUCUGUGUCAGUUUGACGUAAAGUCGAUGAUUAUGAGAUCAUCUUUACAGCCUGUGAAUUUCAUAUCCCCGAUCCCGGUCCCGGUCCUGCUCAGGAUUUAUGGACUCCAUUCUCAUCGGGAAAAUAUGAGUUUUCAUUCAUGUGAGGGACUCUACCUGCCGUGUCUUCUAUACUUCGAGUGCAUGGAUGUCUCCUCCCUAACGCUCCAUAAAAAGAGUCUAAAGCCGUCCACUGACUUGGUAACGAUCUGGAACAUUUUAUUCCUGUAUGUAAGUCACUCGACGUGCGCUGUAUAUCAAAUGUCGAAAAAAAAAACGACAUCAUGAACGCCGAACAAUGGCUGGAAAUCCAACGAGGAUAAAAGAUGAUGAUGUAAGACAGGAGUAAAACCAGGCGGACUGGAUCUCCGUCAAAAGGCCCUAAAAGUCUCGAUAUUAUGGGAUAUCUUUGCGUUUACAUUUCUGAAGUUUGUGUGCGUGUUUCACCUGUGCACUAAAUUACGUAUGCGUGACCAUGCGCCAGAUAUCUCCAACAGUCAAAGAGGAUCAUUUCCCAGACAGCACAUCUGUCGUCGCCCUCAGAAAGAUGACAUUGUCCUCACACGGAGCGUCUACUCUCCUCUGAUAGUUAAUGCCUCAUUGAAAGCCAUUUGCCACCCUCUCCUUAAUUGUGGCUAAUAAUCCAAUCCCGCUCUCGGUAUCAGCGUGCCAAGCACCAUUAAGAUAAAAUGGGGACAUGGAGGAGGGGAGGAAGGCAGACUAAUGACAUCCUCAAGAAAGUGAGUGUUUGGUUCUAGCUGGAGGUCCACGGUGAUACUUUUAAAGUUGAUAUUAUAGAGAUUUAACGACUAUCAGAUAGACACUAACACUUAUUACUCUCGUUAAGUGGACAGCUUUCAUUCCCCGUCCUGAAAAUCAUUUUAUGACCUCAUACCCCGUUUCAGAAACCCGACACUUUGCCAUGAGUCUUAAAAAACUGUCCGCUUUUCUUUCCUGGCAAAUUUAAAAGUUAUUAUCGUUAAUAUCAAAGUCCCCUUUAGCAUCUGAUUUAAGGCGCCCGUUAGCAUUUGUCCCUGUGUCCUUGUUAGCAUCUGUUUCUAAAGUGCCUGUUUUAAAGAAGACUGAUCCAUACAGUCUUCAGCUGUAAACCUCUUCUUAGAGCAAAGUCUCUUCUUAAUGAGGUCCAUGGAUGUUGGUGCAGUCCGCAGACGUGUUUUCAGGGGUCCCUGCAUGGCUCGUUUUGGUACCAAGUCCUGGAAGUGAGCUCAGAUCCUCUGAUUAAGAUAACCAGAACUGGACGGAGGUUUUUGAGUCUUUCCUGGAAACCUGAGAGUCCUUUCAGCUGCGAAGGAAAACGGUGAGAAGUUUUGUGUUUUGGGAACAACAUCUGCAACGUCGUGAUGUGUGACGACACUUCAUUGACAACUCUUGUAAAAAAAGGCCAGUUCAAACUGGAUUUGAGUCUCAAAUGUUAGUGAAACCUGGAGCUUCAUCUAAAGACCUUCAUGAGGUCUGUAAGACCAGUAACAGCCUCAGAAGGUUUUCUCUAACCCUCAAUUUCCACCGCUCCUGGAAAGGCUACGAAAAGUCUGUAUCCGCCGAUCGUAGAUGAUCAUGUUAACGUGUCAAUUUCCACUGACUUCUUUCUGUUCCGCUGCGGAUCGCCGGACUCCACAGCUGAUCACAAGAGUUCUUUUUUAUCUCUGUGUUUCAGGCCAUUUCACCCCGAUGACAACAUGGAUGAGGAGAUGCUGAUUCUAGAAGUCUAGAAGUAGAUUUCCUCCUCUGGAAGGACACAAUCUACUGCUUAUAUG